UACGUAGGGCGCAAGCGUUAUCCGGAAUUAUUGGGCGUAAAGAGCUCGUAGGCGGUUUGUCGCGUCUGUCGUGAAAGUCCGGGGCUCAACUCCGGAUCUGCGGUGGGUACGGGCAGACUAGAGUGAUGUAGGGGAGACUGGAAUUCCUGGUGUAGCGGUGAAAUGCGCAGAUAUCAGGAAGAACACCUAUGGCGAAAGCAGCUCUCUGGGACGGUACUGACGCUGAGACGCGAAAGCGUGGGGAGCGAACAGG
rnacentral:rRNA from 1 species